rnacentral:lncRNA from 10 species
GGGACCUGGGACAUAAUGUAGUGCACAGGGAGAGAAAAUAAUUCAGCACAAACCCUUUCUGCCAUGUGCACUGCCGGAACCCUCAACUGUGCUGCCAUAAAUUCUUACCUGGACUUCUCCAAUAGCCUCUCCACUGGCCUCCCUGUUUCUACUUCUGCCUUCUCUAGUCCCUUCUCUCCUAGAAUCUGAGAAUAAUUGCUUUUAAUUUUUAAUGUUGAAUGUGUAUACAUUUCCUCUCAUAUGUCCAAGUGUUUUUCUUCUUUUGUUUUCAUUUUAUUUUAUUUAUUUAAUUACUUUUUUGAGACAGUUUUGCUCUGUCGCCUGGGCUGAGUGCAGUGGCACCAUCUUGCUGUCACCUUGACAUUGCAUUAUUGCACUGACCUCCAGACAUUAUCUCUGCUUUCACCCUUGCCCCUUUAACAAUUUAUUCUCGGCCGGGCGCGGUGGCUCACGCCUGUAAUCUCAGCACUUUGGGAGGCUGAGGUGGGCGGAUCACAAGGUCAGGAGAUCGAGACCAUCCUGGCUAACACGGUGAAACCCCAUCUCUACUAAAAAUACAAAAAAUUAGCCGGGCCUGGUGGCGGGUGCCUGUAGUCCCAGCUACUCGGGAGGCUGAGGCAGGAGAAUGGCGUGAACCCGGGAGGCGGAGCUGGCAGUGAGCCGAGAUGGUGCCACUGCACUCCAGCCUGGGUGACAGAGCAAGACUCCAUCUCAAAAACAACAACAACAACAAAAAAAAAACAAUUUAUUCUCAACACAGUAGUCAGAGAUAUCCCUU